rnacentral:rRNA from 1 species
GAACAAAAAAUCCUCCGAACGAUUAUAACAUAGACCAACAAGUCAAAGUAAACUAAUUUUCCAAUUGACCCAAAACAAUUUGAUCAACGGACCAAGUUACCCUAGGGAUAACAGCGCAAUCCUAUUUAAGAGUCCAUAUCGACAAUAGGGUUUACGACCUCGAUGUUGGAUCAGGACAUCCCAAUGGUGCAGAAGCUAUUAAUGGUUCGUUUGUUCAA